rnacentral:lncRNA from 1 species
UUUUUGCUCAAGGAAUACAAAUUUAUUACCUUAAGUUGCAUUUAAAAGAAUGUUUUUAGGGUAAUUUCCAGACCUAUGUCCCAUCCUUCUACUUUUAAUCUUCCUAACAACAUGUAUAUGAAUUGAGCACAAAUAGCCCUCAGAGUACAGUAUUUGGAAAGCUACCUAAUAAGUGGAAGAUAAGGUCCACGGUCAAACUCUACACUUGAUCUUCCCUUCUAUGAACAGCAAACCUAAGAGUAAUUCGUCAUAAAGUACAGAGUUGUUUAUUGUUGUAAAAUAUUUAAUUCAAGUAGUCUUUGCCUUUUUCUGGAUUUUCUGAACAGAAGCGCAUUUAAAAUCCUGAUAAUUUUUAAAGACAAGCUUUGUUUCAAUUUAAAAGCUCCAGUAUAACUUCUGUCAUAAACAUUAACUCUCUAGGUCUGAAUUUAGCUCCCCAUUACCUGUCGGCCAGGCAGCCAGCAGCCCAGUGCUACAAAAGCAUGUUGAAUCGAUACUGGGAUCAUUGGUGAUGCCAUGUCAGGUUUCUCGUGUCUUAUCCCAUUCCAUUCUCCAACAAGCCUCACAAAACAGAGUUUCAUGUCCUCUGGGUCUUGGCUCCAUUCUUAUUUAUUUUAAUGAACUGUUCUGACUUAUGCUCCUUAUUACCGUAUCCCUUGUGUGUGUUCCUAAAAUCAAAAUUCACACUUUUCUAGAAUAACACCACUUCAAAAAGAAUUGUGAUUCAUGUUCUAAGUCUGUGAAUAAGCUGUAUUCCC